UCAUUCAUUUUUUUUUUUUUAAUUGUCAUUUGCAUAAAUAAGAAAUUAAUUAAUUAGUUUUGUUUGUGUUACAAUACAGGCUUAAACUAAUAGUGAAACUUGCUCACGCAACGUAUUGUCUCCUAAGGGCGAACUAUUCACAGGUUUACUAAUUACUUUACUAAUUACUUUCAUAAUGCCCGAAACAGCUUCUUUAAUUUUUCAUUUUUUUUCAUAUUUAAUUUAAUUCAUUUCCCUUAUUUUUAUAUUAAGGUACUAGUACCUUAGUACCUUAUAUCAAUAUCUUUUUGUAUUCCUAAUUUUCAAAUGUGGACUUUGAAAACAGUUUUUUUCUGGAUUGUUUUUAUUCCAGAUAAACUGGAGUCGAUAGAAACUCAUCUCCUAUCGCUGUCCAUCCCGUAAAAAACUGAAGAAGAUUUAUUCGAGAAUAUCGGGUGACAUUUACAUCGAAGAAUUAUUUUUAUUCAAAUGCGUCGUCAAUAUUUACUAACUUUUGAAGACUAAAAGAAGAUGAACAGACACAUAGGCUCCUGUUUAUAUAUUUCUCUAUGAAUUAGAUUAACGUAAUUUCUAUAAUGCAUUUGUUGGAAUGUACCUGAAAUGUUUUUCCUUUCUAAACUCGAACCGGCUUGCAAAGAAGUUAACUGCAUGAUUAGAUACAAAGAUCACAGUUGAUGACACUACUUCAA